UACAAAAUGACUCUGGUUUCCAUCUUGCUCACCCUGAGGGAAGCCAAGCUGCCAUGUUGUAAGCUGCCCUAUGAAGGGACCCACAUGGCAAAGAAUGGAGAAUGACCCCAGCCAGCCAAGAACUCUCAGCCUACCGGCCCAUGAGGAACUGAAUCCUGCCAACAGCGAUGUGAGUGAACUUGGAAGUGGAUCCUUCUCCAGUGGCACCAUCAGCAAGAAGGCCCUCACCAGAUGCAGGCCUCUCAACCUUGGACUUUCCAGCCUCCAGAAUUGUAAGAAAUAAAUCUCUAUUCUUUAUAAAUUA
rnacentral:lncRNA from 1 species